rnacentral:rRNA from 1 species
UACGGAGGGUGCUAGCGUUGUUCGGAUUUACUGGGCGUAAAGCGCACGUAGGCGGUUUGUUAAGUCAGGGGUGAAAUCCCAGAGCUCAACUCUGGAACUGCCUUUGAUACUGGCAAGCUCGAGUCCGGAAGAGGUAAGUGGAACUCCUAGUGUAGAGGUGGAAUUCGUAGAUAUUAGGAAGAACACCAGUGGCGAAGGCGGCUUACUGGUCCGGAACUGACGCUGAGGUGCGAAAGCGUGGGGAGCAAACAGG